GGACGAACGCUGGCGGCGUGCCUAAUACAUGCAAGUCGAACGAGCUCUCCCAAAUUGAUUUUAUGCUUGCAUAAAUGAUUUUUGGAUUCGGAGCGAGUGGCGAACUGGUGAGUAACACGUGGGUAACCUGCCCCGAAGCGGGGGAUAACAUUUGGAAACAAGUGCUAAUACCGCAUAAUUAGUUGGAACCGCAUGGUUCCAACUUGAAAGAUGGCUCUGCUAUCACUUUGGGAUGGACCCGCGCCGUAUUAGUUAGUUGGUGAGAUAAAAGCCCACCAAGACGAUGAUACGUAGCCGACCUGAGAGGGUAAUCGGCCACAUUGGGACUGAGACACGGCCCAGACUCCUACGGGAGGCAGCAGUAGGGAAUCUUCCACAAUGGACGAAAGUCUGAUGGAGCAACGCCGCGUGAGUGAUGAAGGUUUUCGGAUCGUAAAACUCUGUUGUUAAAGAAGAACAAGUGUUAGAGUAACUGUUAACACUUUGACGGUAUUUAACCAGAAAGCCACGGCUAACUACGUGCCAGCAGCCGCGGUAAUACGUAGGUGGCAAGCGUUGUCCGGAUUUAUUGGGCGUAAAGCGAGCGCAGGCGGUUUUGUAAGUCUGCUGUGAAAGCCCUCAGCUCAACUGAGGAAGUGCAGUGGAAACUACAAAACUUGAGUACAGAAGAGGAAAGUGGAACUCCAUGUGUAGCGGUGAAAUGCGUAGAUAUAUGGAAGAACACCAGUGGCGAAAGGCGGCUUUCUGGUCUGUUACUGACGCUGAGGCUCGAAAGCAUGGGUAGCGAACAGGAUUAGAUACCCUGGUAGUCCAUGCCGUAAACGAUGAAUACUAGGUGUUGGAGGGUUUCCGCCCUUCAGUGCCGCAGCUAACGCAUUAAGUAUUCCGCCUGGGGAGUACGACCGCAAGGUUGAAACUCAAAGGAAUUGACGGGGGCCCGCACAAGUGGUGGAGCAUGUGGUUUAAUUCGAUGCUACGCGAAGAACCUUACCAGCUCUUGACAUCUUCUGCCAACCCAAGAGAUUGGGCGUUCCCUUCGGGGACAGAAUGACAGGUGGUGCAUGGUUGUCGUCAGCUCGUGUCGUGAGAUGUUGGGUUAAGUCCCGCAACGAGCGCAACCCUUAUUAUUAGUUGCCAGCAUUUAGUUGGGCACUCUAGUGAGACUGCCGGUGAUAAACCGGAGGAAGGUGGGGACGACGUCAAAUCAUCAUGCCCCUUAUGAGCUGGGCUACACACGUGCUACAAUGGAUGGUACAACGAGUCGCGAAACCGCGAGGUCAAGCUAAUCUCUUAAAGCCAUUCUCAGUUCGGAUUGCAGGCUGCAACUCGCCUGCAUGAAGUUGGAAUCACUAGUAAUCGUGGAUCAGCAUGCCACGGUGAAUACGUUCCCGGGCCUGUACACACCG
rnacentral:rRNA from 1 species